UUCUAGUUUUAGUAAUAAAUUUGUGGAAUUAUUUUAUAUGUAAAUUUUUGUAUUAAAUUAUAUAAUUUUAAAUAAAUUAUAUUUGAUUAGAUUAGUCGCAGUAUAUAGAUUUAUUAAUAUAAGAAAUUAUGAAUUAGAUAUUUAGUUUAAUAUUAACAAAAUUUGUGCCAGCAGUUGCGGUUAUACAAAUAAUAUAUUUUAUUAUUUUUAAUUAAUAAUUAAAUGAAAUAGUAAAGUAAUUUAAAAUGAUGGAUUUUAAGGUGAAAUUUUAAUUUAUCGAAUUAUUAAUUUUAAUUUUUGAAGUUAUUAAAUUUUAUAAAAAACUAGGAUUAGAUACCCUAUUAUUAAAAUGUAAAAAUUUAUAUUAAAUUAUUAAUAGAUAUAGUCUUUAAAUUUAAAGAUUUUGGCGGUAUUUUAGUCUAUUCAGAGGAACCUGUCCUGUAAUUGAUAAUCCACGCUUAGAAAUACUUACUUUAGAAAUUUAUAUAUCGUCGUAGAUGAAUAUUUUAUUAGAUUUUUAAUAUUCAAAAUGUAUUUUAUAAAAUAAAUCAGAUCAAGGUGUAGUUUAUAAGUAAGAAGAGAUGGGUUACAAUAAAUAUAUUUUUGAAUAAUAAUUUUAAAAAAUUUUUUGAAAUUGGAUUUGAAUGUAAUUUAAUUUAUUUAAUUUAAAUGAUUUUAGCUCUAAGAUAUGCACAUAUCGCCCGUCGCUCUCAAUAAUUUUGAGAUAAGUCGUAACAAAGUAAAUGUACUGGAAAGUGUAUUUAGAUGGC
rnacentral:ncRNA from 1 species